GCUCUGGGCACAUUCUCGACACCGGAGAACCCAGGCGAGCUCUGCGACCGAUGUGGCCGGAGUUGACCUAGGUGGGGUCCGAGUUCCAGUUGAAGGAAAGCCAGUGUCUAGCGGUUGCUGUGAGACAUCCUGUUUGAGAGUGAGUUACCACAAGAAAGCUUUGAACCUGCUCAGUCUUACCCCUGUUGCUCUGGGCACAUUCUCGACACCGGAAAACCCAGGCGAGCUCUGUGACCGAUGUGGCCGGAGUUGACCUAGGUGGGGUCCGAGUUCCAGUUGAAGGAAAGGCAGUGUCUAGCGGUUGCUGUGAGACAUCCUGUUUGAGAGUGUGUUACCACAAGAAAGCUUUGAACCUGCUCAGUCUUACCCCCGUUGCUCUGGGUGCAGCCUGGAUGCCAAAGAACCCAGGCGAGCUCUGCGACCAAUGUGGCCGGAGUUGACCUAGGUGGGGUCCGAGUUCCAGUUGAAGGAAAGGCAGUGUCUAGCGGUUGCUGUGAGACAUCCUGUUUGAGAGUGUGUUACCACAAGAAAGCUUUGAACCUGCUCAGUCUUACCCCUGUUGCUCUGGGUACAGCCUGGAUGCCAAAGAACCCAGGCGAGCUCUGCGACCGAUGUGGCCGGAGUUGACCUAGGUGGGGUUCGGCUUCCAGUUGAAGGAGAGGCGGUGUCUAGUGGUUGCUGCGAGACAUGCC